rnacentral:rRNA from 1 species
GACGAACGCUGGCGGCGUGCUUAACACAUGCAAGUCGAACGGAAAGGCCCUGCUUUUGUGGGGUGCUCGAGUGGCGAACAGGUGAGUAACACGUGAGUAACCUGCCCUUGACUUUGGGAUAACUUCAGGAAACUGGGGCUAAUACCGGAUAGGAGCUCCUGCUGCAUGGUGGGGGUUGGAAAGUUUCGGCGGUUGGGGAUGGACUCGCGGCUUAUCAGCUUGUUGGUGGGGUAGUGGCUUACCAAGGCUUUGACGGGUAGCCGGCCUGAGAGGGUGACCGGCCACAUUGGGACUGAGAUACGGCCCAGACUCCUACGGGAGGCAGCAGUGGGGAAUAUUGCACAAUGGGCGGAAGCCUGAUGCAGCAACGCUGCGUGCGGGAUGACGGCCUUCGGGUUGUAAACCGCUUUCGCCUGUGACGAAGCGUGAGUGACGGUAAUGGGUAAAGAAGCACCGGCUAACUACGUG